GCAUGCUUAAAUCACAUAAAGGAAUGCAUAAUUUAAAGGGAGGGAGUCAUACUAGCAUGCUUAACUACAAACUUCACAACAAAACCUUAAGUAAAAGCAGGCUAGAAAUAAAAUAAACUAAUCAAGAAGAGAAACAUAUUGUUGUUGGGACUUUAAAUUUAACUAGGACAUACCAGUAAAUCCAAAGUAGGAAAAAUGAAAGAACCAAAGAAUAUAGAUGAUUAGCCUUGGCUUGUAGCCGGCCAAUAGUAGUAGAAUAAUAGAGAUUUAAGUAGGAGGGGUUGUUUGGAAGCCAAGUGUGUGUGUGUGUGUCUUGUUUGUGAAAGACUUAGAGCAUUUAUAGUUGAAAGUAGGUAGUGGAAUAAGGUAAAAAAACUAUAGUAGUAUGCUAGUUUAAGAACUCAGAAUCAAUCAUCUAGAAAAUCAUGGAAGUACUUCCUUGAGUUAAGGGAGUCAAGGCCAAACGGGAUGAUCCAAUACCAUAUAAGGGGAGGAAGGGAAAUCAAUGCAUGAUUAAAUAAGGAAAGGGUCAAGAUUUAGUAUGCAUAAAGUAGUCAAUUAGGACCAAAUUCAGAAAGACCCAAUUAAGGAAAGACUUAGUAAAACAAAGUACCAUAGUAAAUAAGGUAAUGCAAUCAGUUAAUUCAAAAAGACGAGUAGAAUUCUAGGACUUUGAAGGAAAAUCUUCAAUUACCAAAAGUUAAGGACAAUUAGAAUCAACCAUAGGGAAUCAUGAUUCUGCAUACCUCAACAUAUAUAUAGAGACUAUUGAACAGAAGUAGCAAACAAACAAGUUCGAUUAUAUAGGAAAAAAGAAACAAAAGAUGAGCAAACAUAGUGAUAUAGAGGUGUUGUAAGUAGGCUAGAGAUUUAGUAGAACAUAUUCGAAGCAUGGUGACCACAAGAGCUUAACAAGAUCUAGGUAAACAAGCUAACACACAACAACGAAGUAAAGGAAAGACAUGCUAACACACAUAACCAAAGUGGAGCACAUCAUGCUAACACACAUAAGUAGAGUAAAGAAAAUCAAGCUGACAUACAGAGACAAGAAAAUCAGGCUAACAUGCAUAAACAAGUAAAGAAAAUCAUGCUAACUCACAGAAACAAGUAAAGAAAACCUUUAAGAAAUUAGGCGUUUUUAACAUAGUCGAGUUAAAAAGAAGUAAGAACUUAGAAUCGGUCGAGAUAAACAAGGAAAAAGGUUUAAUCAUAAAGACAACAGUCGAAACAAGUACAGAAAGAACUCUGAAAACCCUAGUUUUUUUAAGGGAGUAAAAAUGGUUUAGAGUAGAAGAUGUUUCAGAAGAAAGCUUGAGAAUAAGAAGAUCACAAGAGGAAAUAGGCUUAAAGUAUAAAAAUAACAUAGAUCUGAGAGAUUCAGAAGAGAGUUAGGGUUUCAAAAAGAAACUCAAGUAAAAUCAAAAGAACCUGUCGAAACUUCACCGAUCGUGACAAAUAAGGUGCGAUUUUGCCCAAAAUCACACCGGGGAACCAUAAGUAACAGAAACAGAAACCUUAGGUUCCAAUCGACAUGGCCCAGGAUCUUUGAAAGCCUUAAAUAUGAUGAGCAACACGAUGAGAGACUUACUGGAGGCUUGGGUUGAAUGGGAUAGUCGCCAGAGAUGACUGGAGAAGGAGGUGAGCGGAGGAGUCUAGGGUUAGGUUUGAGAGAAGAGUGGAGAUGAGAGAGCAUCUGAAGGCGGU
rnacentral:lncRNA from 1 species